GUCGAGGGGUAUAAGUAGCAAUACUUAGAGACCGGCGCACGGGUGAGUAACGCGUAUGCAACCUGCCCUUUACAGGGGGAUAGCCCGUAGAAAUGCGGAUUAAUACCCCAUAGUACUAUUGGAUCGCAUGAUUUGGUAGCUAAAGAUUCGUCGGUAAAGGAUGGGCGUGCGUGACAUUAGCUUGUUGGUGAGGUAACGGCUCACCAAGGCUACGAUGUCUAGGGGUUCUGAGAGGAAGAUCCCCCACACUGGUACUGAGACACGGACCAGACUCCUACGGGAGGCAGCAGUGAGGAAUAUUGGUCAAUGGGCGCGAGCCUGAACCAGCCAUCCCGCGUGCAGGAAGAAUGCCCUAUGGGUUGUAAACUGCUUUUUCGCAUGAAGAACACUCCGGACGUGUCUGGAGCUGACGGUAGUGCGUGAAUAAGCACCGGCUAACUCCGUGCCAGCAGCCGCGGUAAUACGGAGGGUGCAAGCGUUAUCCGGAUUUAUUGGGUUUAAAGGGUGCGUAGGCGGCAUUUUAAGUCAGUGGUGAAAUCCUGCAGCUUAACUGUAGAACAGCCAUUGAAACUGAAGUACUUGAGUAAUCUUGAAGUAGGCGGAAUGUGUAGUGUAGCGGUGAAAUGCUUAGAUAUUACACAGAACACCGAUNGCGAAGGCAGCUUACUAAGGAUUUACUGACGCUGAUGCACGAAAGCGUGGGGAUCAAACAGGAUUAGAUACCCUGGUAGUCCACGCCGUAAACGAUGAUAACUCGCUGUUGGCGAUACACAGUCAGCGGCUUAGCGAAAGCGUUAAGUUAUCCACCUGGGGAGUACGCUCGCAGAGUGAAACUCAAGGAAUUGACGGGGGCCCGCACAGCGGAGGACAUGUGGUUUAAUUCGAUGAUACGCGAGGAACCUUACCUGGGCUAAAUGUGCUAUGAC
rnacentral:rRNA from 1 species